CAGCCGCCGCGGGAAUACAGAGGGUGCAAGCGUUAAUCGGAAUUACUGGGCGUAAAGCGCGCGUAGGUGGUUUGUUAAGUUGGAUGUGAAAUCCCAGGGCUCAACCUGGGAACUGCAUCCAAAACUGGCAAGCUAGAGUAUGGUAGAGGGUGGUGGAAUUUCCUGUGUAGCGGUGAAAUGCGUAGAUAUAGGAAGGAACACCAGUGGCGAAGGCGACCACCUGGACUGAUACUGACACUGAGGUGCGAAAGCGUGGGGAGCAAACAGGAUUAGAUACCCGUGUAGUCCCUGUCUCUUAUAC
rnacentral:rRNA from 1 species